GAGUGCAUGGCGUACUGGUUUGAGUGUUGGAUUACAACUCUGGAGACCAGGGUUCAACUCCCUGCUCAGCCA